GAUUUUAAUGCACAGUUUGACUCAAACCAUGGUGACUCGGAAGUAAGACCCUGCACAUGUUUUCCUUAAAGCAUAAUCAGUGUGGAUUCCUUUAAGAAUCUCUCAUGCUCUAACAUUCCUGCAUGUUAAACCACUACAAAAGAAAAAUGGGGAAUUUGAGAUUAUGACAGACCGGAGAGCAGGGCUGGAACUUGUUUGUACCCCUGUGCAUCAUCCUUUAGUAUUGCCUUUGAAGUUUAUUACACUAUUGUUUUCUUUGCUAUUGUCUGCUUUGAAAGAUUGUUGUCUGAAAACAUCAGAAGAGCAAGCAUACAGCAAAUGUUCCGGGCUAGAAAUCUGGACACCAAGCCUGCCUCUCACACAGACAAGGUAUCUGCAAGCAUCUUCUGCCAGCAACUCAACAGUUACAGAAUCACCAUCUGUGUUUUCGUUAACCUGAAUCAGAUAUGAAUUCUGUUAUUGCAAGGUAGAGCAGCUUGUUUAAUGAUUCUUAAUCUUUUCUUUAAUUAAAUCAUGCAGCCAA
rnacentral:lncRNA from 1 species